rnacentral:misc_RNA from 1 species
UCAUCAUCAAGUUCAGACUUUGCAACUCCCUAACUAGCACACUUACAGAGGAGCCUCCAAAGAGCAACACUAUUGGAAAUCCAGCAUCUAGUGGAGUAUCAACUGCUGCAUAUAAAGCAAAAAGCCAUGCACAAUCAUUUUUUGACAGCGUGCUCAUGGUUUCUAUUGGAAAUCCAAUACCGAAUAGAAUUAGGAAUUGAAGUUAUAAAGCAGCAAUGGACAUCCG